rnacentral:tRNA from 1 species
GACCACGUAGCUCAGUUGGAAGAGCAUUGGGCUAGUAUUCCAAAGGUCGUAGGUUCGAAUUCCGCCGUGGCCA